AGUGAUCGUUAACAAAUCUUAAAUUACAACGAAAUGAAAUUGCUCAAUACCUUAAAAUUGAAAAUUGCCGAACUAAGUAGGAAAAAAGCCACAAUGUUUGUAAAAAAACUGAAUAAUUAUAUUAUAAUUCACCAAUAUCUCUAGCAGGUUAACGCGAUAUUUAAUUUAAGAAAAUUACAUCGUAAUUUAAUUUCAGGUGUGCAUGGCCCAAAAUACUAAUCAUAAAAAGAAAUUUGCUAUAUGUGGCGAAGAACCGUGUUACGUCACGUGAGGUAAUCCGUACGCCAACUCUCGUUGCCUGGCCGUCGAACAUCCACCUACCGUUAUUCAGAUCCACAAUGAACCUAAGUAUCCACCCUAAGUUACCCUUACUUUCCUAACGAAAAAUUCGAACUAGCAGAAUAAGGUCUGGAAAAGAU